GGGAACAACAACAAAAAUGCCCUGCCUGGUGUUUUGGGAAAGCUGGUAAAAUAGUCUGAGAUGAUUUUUUUUCAAAGCAGGGUAAUGAUGACGAUGCAUAAUGCUACGGCUAGUAUUUAUGCUAUGGAGCACUCUUCAUCUCCAGGGCAGAUAAAAGGCCUUAGUAGAUUGAUCUUCAGAGCACCCCCUGUGAGCGAGUCUUUAACAGUGGCAAGGUACAAAAGUACCCUUGCAGACCUGCUUUUGGAAGCCCCUUCUUCAUUAUUUGGUUUACACGUGCAGUGAGUGUCAUGCAGCCGAGAUCUCUCGCUUUAGCACACCUGCACACAUAUUGACUGCAGAAAGAAUUAGGCCAUGCUCUCCCACCAGUUGCUGUGGCAAAACCCAGGCAUGGAUUUACCAGAGAGACCACAUGGAGUCUGUCCUUCCUCCUGGCAUCCCUGCAGUUCUAUGAGAGCACAUCUACCCAUGGCGGAGUGCACCAAGAGGUCCCCUUGGCACGUAACCCCUCUUCUUACCCUCAUUCUCCUCUCUCUUUUGCCCCAUCUCCUGCUCACACCCUUCUGGGAUGAAACAAGAAGCACUGACAAUAUUGAGAAUGUCAGCCUCCAUGCAUGUGGGAACUGUUAGCUCACAGACUGCAAGCCCUGAAGACACCACUGCCAUCAUCUAGUUUGCCCUGCUGCCUAGCACAAGGUGUAAGACUUUCAGCCAAUAAUUUCUCUGAUAAGCUCAACAGCCUGCAUUGAGC
ensembl:lncRNA